UACGUAGGGUGCAAGCGUUGUCCGGAAUUAUUGGGCGUAAAGGGCUCGUAGGCGGUCCAUCACGUCGGGAGUGAAAAGCUGGGGCUUAACCCCAGUCCUGCUUCCGAUACGGGUGGACUAGAGGUAGGCAGGGGAGAACGGAAUUCCUGGUGUAGCGGUGAAAUGCGCAGAUAUCAGGAGGAACACCGAUGGCGAAGGCAGGUCUCUGGGCCACUACUGACGCUGAGAAGCGAAAGCAUGGGGAGCGAACAGG
rnacentral:rRNA from 1 species